CAGUCGCCGCGGGAAUACAGAGGGUGCGAGCGUUAAUCGGAUUUACUGGGCGUAAAGCGUGCGUAGGCGGCUAAUUGAGUCGGAUGUGAAAUCCCCGAGCUUAACUUGGGAAUUGCAUUCGAUACUGGUUAGCUAGAGUGUGGGAGAGGAUGGUAGAAUUCCAGGUGUAGCGGUGAAAUGCGUAGAGAUCUGGAGGAAUACCGAUGGCGAAGGCAGCCAUCUGGCCUAACACUGACGCUGAGGUACGAAAGCAUGGGGAGCAAACAGGAUUAGAUACCCCCGUAGUCCCUGUCUAUUAUAC
rnacentral:rRNA from 1 species